GGCCGAUGUUUUCCCGCCGUGGCGUAGCUCCCGUUCGCCGGUAUCGUAAAUGUGAUCAUUUGAAGACGGCAUGCAGUUCACCCCUCGGGCUGGUGGAGGUCCGUUUUGGAGGAGCGAUUUCCAGUCGCCAAGAAGAGUUGAAAGACCACACAAUAAGAGGGGUUGGUCAUCCUGGAAUUCUCCAAAAACAUCAUUUAACGAAAGGCCGAAGUUCCAGUACCGGGGUCCGAAUGCCCGUGGCUACCACAAGAGUAAUGGAGGAUGGGCAGGAUAUGGAGGAAGACAGAACAACACAUACAGGAAUGAUUACCAACACAAUGGCAAUAGAGGUUGGCAAGGCUGGAGGAAGCCAGUUGUGAACUACCACAAUACCAACAAAGGAUGCCAAAACAACAAUGGUGAAAGGUGGCACUCGCCGCCCAGCCGCCGGCCGUCGCCGCGGGGGGCGCG
rnacentral:lncRNA from 1 species